rnacentral:rRNA from 1 species
UACAGAGGUGGCAAGCGUUGUUCGGAAUCACUGGGCGUAAAGGGCGCGUAGGCGGCCUGGUAAGUAGGGGGUGAAAUCCUGCGGCUUAACCGCAGGGCUGCCUUCUAAACUGUCAGGCUCGAGCACAGUAGAGGCAGGUGGAAUUCCCGGUGUAGCGGUGGAAUGCGUAGAGAUCGGGAAGAACAUCAGUGGCGAAGGCGGCCUGCUGGGCUGUUGCUGACGCUGAGGCGCGACAGCGUGGGGAGCAAACAGG